rnacentral:rRNA from 1 species
GUCUUUUUGAUUAUAAUUUAAAGUCUAACCUGCUCUAUGAUAAAAUUAAAUGGCCGCGAUAUUUUGAUCGUGCAAAGGUAGCAUAAUCAUUAGUUUUUUAAUUAAGAACUGGAAUGAAGGGUUGAACGAAAAAAAAACUGUCUCAAUUUAAUUUAAUUAGAAUUUUAUAUUUAAGUUAAAAAGCUUAAAUUAUUUUAAAAGACGAGAAGACCCUAUAGAGUUUUAUAUUAAAAAAUUUUAUAAAGUAAUUUAGAAUUAUUUUUUUUUUUUUUAUUUUUUAGUAUUUAGUUGGGGUGAUUAAAAAAUUUAUUUAACUUUUUUUAUUAUUAUUCAUUAAUUUAUGUUUUAUUGAUCCAUAUUUUAUGAUUAAAAGAUUAAAUUACCUUAGGGAUAACAGCGUUAUUUUUUUUAGAGUUC